rnacentral:rRNA from 1 species
UGGGAAUUUUGGACAAUGGGCGCAAGCCUGAUCCAGCCAUGCCGCGUGCGGGAAGAAGGCCUUCGGGUUGUAAACCGCUUUUGUCAGGGAAGAAAUCUUCUGAGUUAAUACCUCGGGAGGAUGACGGUACCUGAAGAAUAAGCACCGGCUAACUACGUGCCAGCAGCCGCGGUAAUACGUAGGGUGCAAGCGUUAAUCGGAAUUACUGGGCGUAAAGCGUGCGCAGGCGGUUUUGUAAGACAGAGGUGAAAUCCCCGGGCUCAACCUGGGAACUGCCUUUGUGACUGCAAGGCUUGAGUGCGGCAGAGGGGGAUGGAAUUCCGCGUGUAGCAGUGAAAUGCGUAGAUAUGCGGAGGAACACCGAUGGCGAAGGCAAUCCCCUGGGCCUGCACUGACGCUCAUGCACGAAAGCGUGGGGAGCAAACAGGAUUAGAUACCCUGGUAGUCCACGCCCUAAAACGAUGUCAACUGGUUGUUGGGAAGGUUCCUUCUCAGUAACGUAGCUAACGCGUGAAGUUGACCGCCUGGGGAGUACGGCCGCAAGGUUGAAACUUAAAUGAAUUGACGGGGUCAUAGCUGUUU